rnacentral:rRNA from 1 species
AGUAGCGAAGUUCCUGAUGUCACACUGCCAAGAAAAGCUUCUAGUGAGAAAGUAACUGCCCGUACCGCAAACCGACACAGGUAGUUGAGGAGAGAAUCCUAAGGUGUGCGAGAGAACUCUCGUUAAGGAACUCGGCAAAAUGACCCCGUAGCUUCGGGAGAAGGGGUGCUGACCGCAAGGUCAGCCGCAGUGAAUAGGCCCAAGCGACUGUUUAUCAAAAACACAGGUCUCUGCAAAAUCGAAAGAUGACGUAUAGGGGCUGACGCCUGCCCGGUGCUGGAAGGUUAAGAGGAGAGGUUAGCGCAAGCGAAGCUUUGAAUUGAAGCCCCAGUAAACGGCGGCCGUAACAAUAACGGUCCUAAGGUAGCGAAAUUCCUUGUCGGGUAAGUUCCGACCCGCACGAAAGGCGUAACGAUUUGGGCACUGUCUCAACGAGAGACUCGGUGAUAUUAUAGUACCAGUGAAGACGCUGGUUACCCACGACAGGACGGAAAGACCCCAUGGAGCUUUACUGCAGUUUGAUAUUGCGUGUUUGUAUCACAUGUACAGGAUAGGUAGGAGCCGAAGAUACCGGGACGCCAGUCUCGGAGGAGGCAACGGUGGGAUACUACCCUUGUGAUAUGACCACUCUAACCCGCUGCUCUUAGCGAGCAGGGAGACAGUGUCAGACGGGCAGUUUGACUGGGGCGGUCGCCUCCAAAAAUGUAACGGAGGCGCCCAAAGGUUCCCUCAGAAUGGUUGGAAAUCAUUCGUAGAGUGUAAAGGCAGAAGGGAGCUUGACUGCGAGACCUACAAGUCGAGCAGGGACGAAAGUCGGGCUUAGUGAUCCGGUGGUUCCGCAUGGAAGGGCCAUCGCUCAACGGAUAAAAGCUACCCUGGGGAUAACAGGCUUAUCUCCCCCAAGAGUUCACAUCGACGGGGAGGUUUGGCACCUCGAUGUCGGCUCAUCGCAUCCUGGGGCUGUAGUCGGUCCCAAGGGUUGGGCUGUUCGCCCAUUAAAGCGGUACGCGAGCUGGGUUCAGAACGUCGUGAGACAGUUCGGUCCCUAUCCGUCGCGGGCGUUGGAAAUUUGAGAGGAGCUGUCCUUAGUACGAGAGGACCGGGAUGGACACACCGCUGGUGUACCAGUUGUUCUGCCAAGAGCAUCGCUGGGUAGCUAUGUGUGGACGGGAUAAACGCUGAAAGCAUCUAAGCGUGAAGCCCCCCUCAAGAUGAGAUUUCCCAUCACUUUAAGUGAGUAAGACCCCUGAGAGCUGAUCAGGUAGAUAGGUUGG